AUGGGCUUUGCAUUUGCUGAUGGGGCCAUGGGCUGUUUGCAUCUCCUGGGAUCCUUUGGGUCAAGUGAGCUGGCAGAAUACCUCCAACAGUGUCAUUAGCAGCCUCAGGAGCCGCUUCAAGGAUGCAACCCUGAGAGGAUGUAUUAUUGACACCAUCUGGAAUGAAUAUGUGACUGAACCCUGUUAGGGCUGCUAUCUAGGUCCAGCAGGUGUAGAGAUCUACUCAUCUUGCAGCCGCCCAAGACAGCAAGCCUGGAAAUCUCGGGGCUUUGCUCUAUCGAAAGUGCUCGGCUGGGUGAUUUUUGAGCACCACCCUCCAGAAGUGCUGGCGUCCGGAUGCAUUUUCCUUUGCUUUGCAAAGAAGAGUCGUGAACUUCAAAACCCUCCGAGACGGAUUAUUAAUCCUGCUUUGCAGGAAAGGAAAACCCUCCAUCCUCGGCCACCGGGCACCCCUCUCCGGAGACCCUGCUAUCGCCCAGGCGCUCCGAGCCGGAAGGGGACGCUUUGGGAAUGACCAUGCUCCACGGAGGGACAGAGCCGGCCCCCAGCUUCUCUACACAGAGCCUCCUCCACUAAAGCUCCAAAAAUCAAAAACCGUAAUUGCCAGAAGAAUCAUUAAAAAAAAAAAAAAAGUCCAGCCACUAACC